AACAGCUAGCCUUUAUGCUGAAAAUAAAAUUGCCAGAAUAGCAUACCAUCUCAUGAUGUAGCAGUCUCUAGCACGUAAAGCUCUAUUGAAUUUUUAGCCUUUUAUUUAUUGAUUGAUUAUUUUGACGGAAUGCUGAGGUCUGCUUUAAAGUAGCCUUGGCAUCAUAUUAUCUGGUUCCAAGGUCAUGGAGUCAAAAAUAU
rnacentral:lncRNA from 1 species